CUCUAUCUAUAUAUACACACACAUACACAUUUGAUUUCUUGAAUCUUACCAAACAAUAUUAUUCAUUCUGUUUUGAUAUCUUUAUCAUCAAAAUGAGUAGCUACAAUCAGUCUCAAGCAGGCACUACAUAUCCGGAUGAAGGGAAACCAGAGACAGUCAUGGCACCACCACCACCGGCUGGUUAUCCCGUAAAAGAUGAGCAUGAUCAGGACCUCCGCCCCACCACCGAGGAAAGUCAGUCUCGGGGUGAUGGCUUCUGGAGGGGAUGUUGUGCUGCGUUGUGUUGCUGCUGCGCAUUGGAUGCUUGUUUCUAAGGAGUUGGUUCACAUUCAUGAAUCAUAAUUUGUGCUUCAGUUUCAUAUAUUAUUUAUGUCUGGAUUGAUUUGACACUAUUUAUGUAUUAUUGGUGUUGUUCCUUCUAUUUCUUAGUGUUGAUAUUCAUUGGAUAAAGAAGAGUUGCUCCAUAAGUUUUAGAA